UCAUCCUAUAUUAUUUAUAAUCCAAAAAUAAUUAUAAUUUUUUUAUUAAGGUAAAUUUAUAUUAAAAAAUAUAUGAGAUAAAUACCUUAAAAUAUUAUAUAUUAUAUAUCUAGAGAUCGAUAAUAUAUUUCUAAUAGAUAAUAUAUAUUAUUAUUUUAGAGAUAAUAUAUUUUUUAUAGAUAAUAUAUUUGUUAAAUAAUUAUUAUUAUAUUUAUAAAAUAAUUAAAUUUUAUAAAAACUAAUUUUUAAACAAUAAAAAUUUUCUCACUUUAAAAUAAUUAAUUUAAAAAUUAAAUUUCAAUAUUUCCACUUUUCCCACUUCUUUUCUACUUUUCCCACUUCUUUUCUAAUUUUCACUUCUAACUACUCUUAAAAAAAAAAACUUCUCCAAAUUCCAACUUCCGACAUCUCUUCCGACUUUCGGACGACCUCAACUUCCUCCCUCCAACAAGGUAAACUCUUCCCCAUCUUAUUCCGAUUCUAGUACCGGCGAGUUCGACCUCGCCAGGGGGUGCUGGGCGGGCGAGUUCGACCUCGCCAGUGGGUGCUGGGUGAGUUCCCAGAACCCAUGCGUCGUCCUAUGGACGAUGCAAUAUCAAAUGCGUCGUCCAUAGGACGACGCAAUCCUCUUCCUGGAAUCACCGACAAGGUCGAUUCGACCUCGCCGGUGGGUGCUGGGCGAGUUCCCAGCACCCAUGCGUCGUCCAUAGGACGACACAAU
rnacentral:lncRNA from 1 species